rnacentral:rRNA from 1 species
AGAGUGAACGCUGGCGGUAGGCCUAACACAUGCAAGUCGAACGGCAGCACAGUGGUAGCAAUACCAUGGGUGGCGAGUGGCGGACGGGUGAGGAAUACAUCGGAAUCUACCUUUUCGUGGGGGAUAACGUAGGGAAACUUACGCUAAUACCGCAUACGCCCUUCGGGGGAAAGCCGGGGAUCGCAAGACCUGGCGCGGAUAGAUGAGCCGAUGUCGGAUUAGCUAGUUGGUGAGGUAAUGGCUCACCAAGGCGACGAUCCGUAGCUGGUCUGAGAGGAUGAUCAGCCACACUGGAACUGAGACACGGUCCAGACUCCUA